rnacentral:snoRNA from 1 species
UGCAUCCCACCAAACAGGUGCAAACACUAAAUUCUCUUUUACAACCCGUAACUCACUGUUCAGUGUGAUUUUUGAUACAUAUAAGAAAGAACAGU